AUUGAACGCUGGCGGCAUGCCUUACACAUGCAAGUCGAACGGUAACAGGUCUUCGGAUGCUGACGAGUGGCGAACGGGUGAGUAAUACAUCGGAACGUGCCUAGUAGUGGGGGAUAACUACUCGAAAGAGUGGCUAAUACCGCAUGAGAUCUACGGAUGAAAGCAGGGGAUCGCAAGACCUUGUGCUACUAGAGCGGCCGAUGGCAGAUUAGGUAGUUGGUGGGAUAAAAGCUUACCAAGCCGACGAUCUGUAGCUGGUCUGAGAGGACGAUCAGCCACACUGGGACUGAGACACCGCCCAGACUCCUACGGGAGGCAGGAGUGGGGAAUUGUGGACAAUGGGCGAAAGCCGUAUACAGCAAUACCGCGUGCAGGAUGAAGGCCUUCGGAUUGUAAACUGCUUUUGUACGGAACGAAAAGCUCUGGGUUAAUACCCUGGGGUCAUGACGGUACCGUAAGAAUAAGCACCGGCUAACUACGUGCCAGCCGCCGCGGUAAGAC
rnacentral:rRNA from 1 species